rnacentral:rRNA from 1 species
AACGAACGCUGGCGGCAGGCUUAACACAUGCAAGUCGAGCGCCCCGCAAGGGGAGCGGCAGACGGGUGAGUAACACGUGGGAACCUACCUGGUGGUACGGAACAACACAGGGAAACUUGUGCUAAUACCGUAUAAGUCCUUCGGGAGAAAGAUUUAUCGCCAUCAGAUGGGCCCGCGUCGGAUUAGCUAGUUGGUGUGGUAACGGCGCACCAAGGCGACGAUCCGUAGCUGGUCUGAGAGGAUGAUCAGCCACACUGGGACUGAGACACGGCCCAGACUCCUACGGGAGGCAGCAGUGGGGAAUAUUGGACAAUGGGCGCAAGCCUGAUCCAGCCAUGCCGCGUGAGUGAUGAAGGCCUUAGGGUUGUAAAGCUCUUUCGCCGACGAAGAUAAUGACGGUAGUCGGAGAAGAAGCCCCGGCUAACUUCGUGCCAGCCGCCGCCGUAACAC